UAUUGCACAAUGGGGGGAACCCUGAUGCAGCGACGCCGCGUGAGUGAAGAAGUAUUUCGGUAUGUAAAGCUCUAUCAGCAGGGAAGAAAAUGACGGUACCUGAAUAAGAAGCCCCGGCUAACUACGUGCCAGCAGCCGCGGUAAUACGUAGGGGGCAAGCGUUAUCCGGAUUUACUGGGUGUAAAGGGAGCGUAGAAGGUCAUGCAAGUCUGGAGUGAAAGCCCGGGGCUCAACCCCCGGACUGCUUUGGGAACUGUACGGCUGGAGUGCAGGAGAGGUAAGUGGAAUUCCUAGUGUAGCGGUGAAAUGCGUAGAUAUUAGGAGGAACACCAGUGGCGAAGGCGGCUUACUGGACUGUAACUGACGUUGAGGCUCGAAAGCGUGGGGAGCAAACAGG
rnacentral:rRNA from 1 species